GCCACAGGGAGGUAGGGCUCUCAUUGGGACACCCAUCCGCUGACUGAGGCUGCUCCCAGAAGAGCAGCGAGCCUGGCCAGGCUGGGAAACUCAAGUGCUUAAAAUCUCGGCUCUCCUCUACCUUCCAAGACAGUCUCCCCCCAUGGAAAUAAGCCUCGGACAUUCUUAUGACCAUAGAAAUGGGAGCAAGUUCAAGAGGACAAACGUAUAUUCUGCCCUAGCAGACCCUUACCAGCACUGCUGCCUUCCCUCCACCUUUCCUUCUUUCCCAAUUCUACCUGUGCCCAGACUCCAUGCUGAGCCCUGUAUAUGAAACAUCUCAAUUAAACUUCAAAACAAUCCCAUU